rnacentral:rRNA from 1 species
UACGAAGGGGGCUAGCGUUGCUCGGAAUCACUGGGCGUAAAGGGCGCGUAGGCGGCCGUUCAAGUCGGGGGUGAAAGCCUGUGGCUCAACCACAGAAUGGCCCUCGAUACUGGAUGGCUCGAGACCGGAAGAGGUUGGUGGAACUGCGAGUGUAGAGGUGAAAUUCGUAGAUAUUCGCAAGAACACCAGUGGCGAAGGCGGCUCACUGGCCCGAUACUGACGCUGAGGCGCGAAAGCUAGGGGAGCAAACGGG